GAUGAACGCUGGCGGCGUGCCUAAUACAUGCAAGUCGAACGCUUAGUCUGUAAUUGAUAUGAGUAGCUUGCUCUGAUUAGAUUUUAUCUGACAAAGAAUGGCGAACAGAUAAGUAACACGUGGAUAACCUACCUCUUAUCAGAGCAUAACAUCUGGAAACAAGUAAUAAUACCGUAUAACACUAACAACCUCAUGGCUGUUAGGUGAAAGAUAGUUCUGCUAUCACUAAGAGAUGGACCCGCGGUGCAUUAGCUAGUUGGUAAGGUAAUGGCUUACCAAGGCGAUGAUGCCUAGCCGAGUUCAGCGACUGAUCGGCCACAGUGGGACUGAGGCACGGCACAUACGCCUACGGGAGGCAGCAGUAGGGAAUCUUCCACGAUGGGCGCAAGCCUGAUGGAGCAACGCCGCGUGUGUCAUGAAGGCUUUCGGCUCGUAAAAAACUGUUAUAAGCGAAGAACGACAUUGAGAGUAACUGUUCAGUGUGUGACGGUAUCUUAUCCGAAAGGAACGGCCAAAUACGUG
rnacentral:rRNA from 1 species